UACGUAGGGGGCUAGCGUUGUCCGGAUUUAUUGGGCGUAAAGAGCUCGUAGGCGGUUUGUCGCGUCUGCUGUGAAAACCUAAGGCUCAACCUUGGGCUUGCAGUGGGUACGGGCAGACUAGAGUCCGGAAGAGGCGAGUGGAAUUCCUGGUGUAGCGGUGGAAUGCGCAGAUAUCAGGAGGAACACCAAUAGCGAAGGCAGCUCGCUGGGACGGUACUGACGGCUAAGGCGCGAAAGCGUGGGGAGCGAACAGG
rnacentral:rRNA from 1 species